GAGUUGGAGGCCAGUGGAGCAUUCCAUCUACUCCCCUCCCCCUCUCUAUAUUCACUGAGGACAUUCCUCCCUUCACCUGCCCCUCUGCUCAGCAGUCCAAUGGAAGUACUUCAUCUCUUUUGGGGGGUCUCCAAAGGCAUAUCUGGAAUUGGAGAUACAUAACAAGUUGCGGAGCUGCAUCAAUUUAAAGUUUUCCCUCUCACUCCUGAAAUUUGAACUAUACUUCCAGGACCUUUCCUCAUCCUUCUCCCAACAUUCCAUUGCAACAAUUGCUUCUGAAUGGGGCAAUAUGAAGGAGAGAGAGCAUCCUUUUCUCAUCCUGGAGUGGAACACAGAUUAGGGAAACUUAAAUGUAUAUUUCAAGACAAAAAAUAAAUUGAACCAACAACAGAUGAAACA
rnacentral:lncRNA from 1 species